rnacentral:rRNA from 1 species
AGCGGCGGACGGGUGAGUACUGCCUAGGAAUCUGCCUGGUAGUGGGGGAUAACGUCCGGAAACGGGCGCUAAUACCGCAUACUAUCAGAUGAGCCUAGGUCGGAUUAGCUAGUUGGUGGGGUAAAGGCCUACCAAGGCGACGAUCCGUAACUGGUCUGAGAGGAUGAUCAGUCACACUGGAACUGAGACACGGUCCAGACUCCUACGGGAGGCAGCAGUGGGGAAUAUUGGACAAUGGGCGAAAGCCUGAUCCAGCCAUGCCGCGUGUGUGAAGAAGGCCUUAGGGUUGUAAAGUACUUUCAGCGGGGAGGCGUUACCCGCAGAAGAAGCACCGGCUAACUCCGUGCCAGCAGCCGCGGUAAUAC